GCCGGCCUGGGCAUUUUUGUUUGCACAGAUAUGACACAUGGGGUGUGAUCAGAGAUGUCUCUGGAAAGAGCCAUAACCGUUGAGUUAGGGAAGGAAGUGGUCCAGGCAAUUGAAGUGAAAAACCAAUCCAGUCUCUCCAGGAGAGGAUUUCUCUGUUUGUUUGUCCAACUAAAUCUGCAUCCCUUUAGGGGCAAUUCGAUGAGUCGUAACUUGCUAAUAGCAUUGUUGAAAGCUAGCAUUUCUUGACAGUUGGCCCCUGGUUUAUUCCGAUCUUCCGGUCUUCUCAAGAGGUUAAAAUCUCCGACAAUCAGCCACUUAUCC
rnacentral:lncRNA from 1 species